rnacentral:rRNA from 1 species
CCUACGGGAGGCAGCAGUGGGGAAUAUUGCACAAUGGGGGAAACCCUGAUGCAGCGACGCCGCGUGAGUGAAGAAGUAAUUCGUUACGUAAAGCUCUAUCAGCAGGGAAGAAACACUGACCUUACGGUCAGCAGACGGUACCUGAGUAAGAAGCCCAGGCUAACUACGGGCCAGCAGCCGCGGUAAUACGUAGGGGGCAAGCGUUAUCCGGAUUUACUGGGUGUAAAGGGAGCGGAGACGGUGCGCCAAGUCUGGAGUGAAAGGCGGCAGCUUAACUGCGGACGUGCAUUGGAAACUGGCGAACUAGAGUGCGGGAGGGGUAAGCGGAAUUCCUGGUGUAGCGGUGAAAUGCGUAGAUAUUAGGAGGAACACCGGUGGCGAAGGCGGCUUACUGGACCGUAACUGACGUUGAGGCUCGAAAGCGUGGGGAGCAAACAGGAUUAGAUACCCGAGUAGUC